UUUUGUAACUAUCACAUAAUUACAAUUCAGCCCCUCUAGUUUAAUUAAUUACACUUGAUCACAAAAUUAAUUCUUAAUUAAUUAUUGACCAAUAUUAAUUAAACAAAUAUGAUUUCUCCUUUAAUAUAUUAUUCUUAUAACAUAUUAAUAAAUCAUAAUAACCUCUCUCUCUAUUUAUUUCUCCAAUCAAGUUGCUUUGGUGAAGGCAACCCAAAAGGACCAUGCACCAUCGGGUCAAGUACAUACCAAAAUAGUUAUGGACUUAGACACUAAUCCAACAGUCUCCCACUUGGAUAAGUCUAACAACUAUUCUGCGUAUGACUUCGGAUCCCGAUCUGCAAUCGUAGCUUUCCAAAGCCGCUGUCAACUCUGAUCAUAUCAGAUACGCGUGUCCUUAGAUAAGGGAUCAUAUAUUCCUCCAUUCUAGAUAUCAUAUGAGAUAUGAUUUCAAAUCAUUCUCUUUGUACUAUAUCUCGAUUUCCGAUUUAUGACGACUGACUAAUUGAACAAAUCAAAUUAGCCCUAGCCCGGCCGAGCAUUUACGUUUGUCAUCACUAAAUCAUCGAGGGGCCCAAAGAUAUCGCUUUUAUCCUACUUUGGAUAAAAGGAACGGAUAAACUUUGAUACAAUGCUUGCUUGCACUCACUCACCGAAUCACACACAACAAUAUGUUUUAUAACACCAAGUUACUAGUGCGUUUACAUAUUAUCAAUGUGCAACCGAUUUGCAAGAUACAACUCACACAUCUCGGUUUCAAGAAUAUAAGAUGUUAUCGUCUCACCAAUCACUCGUGAUACAAUUCAUGGAGUGAUCCAAGUGAGCGUGGGUUUAAUCCAAUGCUCAAAUCAUAUUCAUAAGCACUCAUGAACGUUGCAGCAAACAUUUGCUUAUGUCUAAUACUCUUUUAGACAAUCCACACACCAAUUCACGACAGUCUUCAUUCAUAUCUACUUCCAACAUAUGAACGACUGUGGCCCGUUCGAAUAAUUCGAUUAUUCUUAAUAAACUCAAUUAUUCUGGAAGUCAAAACAUGCAAAUGUGAAACACAAGAAUAAUACUAAUCCCAUAUGGCCUCAAACCUUUGAGUAUAAAUAAAACUCCUUUUAUUUAUCACCAUAUCGAUUACUCAUUAUUUGUCGUUUCGGGUAAUCAACUUCUUACUUGAAUUACUACACUUGUCCCAUGCUCCUAGCAUGCACACAAUGUUUACCUAUGGUUCUUACUUUGUGAAAUAGAUCAAAUUGAACACAUUUCCAAUCAUUCUCAUUUCACAACUCCAAAUCCUUUUUCAUAAGUGAAAGAAUAUCAAAUUCUUGCUACUUAUAGAAUAUGCUAGAUUCUAACAUUCUAUGCAAUGAUCCUUUCGUAAUGUCACUGCACCAAAGUCACAAAGACUAUUGCCAAUGAUAUUACAAAGUCCUCUAUCGGAGAUUGUUACAAGACAAUUCCUUAGAUAUGAUGUCUCUCACUCAAAGUACAUUCCUUUGAACAUCCUUUUGCAUAAAAGUUUCUAAUCUAGACAUAGAUUUUCAAUAUUCAAUUCCCAAUAUGGACACGCUUCCAUAUUUUCCAUAUGACAACUCAUUCUUAAUAGAAUCUUAUCUAUUCGUAAUGAUGUCGAUAUGGUCCAUCCAAUAUGGAAACAUUUCCAUAAUUUCCAUAUGACAACUCAUUCUUAAUAGAAUCUUUUCUAUUCAUAAUAAUGUCGAUAUGGUCCAUCCAAUACCAUGCUUCCAACUACUCACAAGCGACCAAUCCUCGUCGAACUUUGGAUUGUCCUUUGAUAGUUGUUUAAUUAUUUUAGUCAAAACCAAUUCUAGUCCCUUUUCCCUCUAAAUGCGCUCGACAUUUGGAAAAUUUUAGAAUGGUCAAACAUUAAAGCAUUUGCAAUCGAUCCUAUACCCGAAGCGUAUGGGACACGACGCAUAAUGUUUUAUUUGCUAUGUUCUCAAAAUUCGAAUUGUGAAGAGGAAUGCCGUAAUCAUAAUCGAAAUUUUAAGAACACACUAUGUACCUUUGACUAAAUUUAUUAACAUUUCUCAACCUAAUCCUUUAGAUUUGAAAUGAAGCAUAAUAUUCUCUCCCUUAAUUAUAGCAAAACAACUUUACAACCCUUACGACUUUGCAAGGUAUAACUCUUGUUUUCUAUAAUUAAUAUUGCCAACUUGCAAUACGUGCCUUAAUAAUCAUACAAUCAUAACAUUUAUGCUCCCACUAUCAUGAUGAUUAUUAUAAAACAUAACACUUAUGCUCCCACUAGCUUCGACAUGUAUUCAUAAACAUCUUAACUUUCAGAAAAACAAUACUUAUUGAAUUUCUUAAGUUCAUGUUUCUAAUACUUAGUGCUUUGAUAAUCUUUUAUCAAGGCUUCUUGAACUUAUACACCUUUGCCUUCGAUAGUUCAUAUGUGUGUCUAAACAAUUAAGACUAAUUGCCAAACCUCACAAUUCAAAUUAUGGAAAGGGAUACCGUAACCAUAAUCGAAUUCGAGAAUGCAAUUUUACAAUCACUAUCUUCUUAAAAUCUUUCUUAGUGAAAGCAUUUCCUCACAAUCAUUUUCAUGAAGGAGGAAAUCUUAUGACACUUAGAUUUAAACGGUGUAUGUGUUCCUAUCCAUGUGAAUUUGUUAAAACCAAAGUUUACGACAAAUUCAAACUCAUAUGGACCGAACUUUCUUAAUCUUGAUUUCUUGCCUUAUGGUAGCACAGCUGCCCACCAUGUCUUCCAAGUAGUUAAGCAGCUCACCCUUUCCUAUCAAUGUACCUUUCAUUGAUUAAGGUGCUUUGCCUUUUAUGCGUUCAAAAUGAGAACUCAUAGAACUCACAUGCAUAAUUAACUCGAUUGGAUUGGCACAGAAACAAAAUAAUGUCAACACGAUAGGUUGUAAACCUCAACUCGUGUGCUAGUGAUGAUCGAUAAGGUUUUUUUUGAUUUGUUCUUGAAACCUUUCAAGACCAUUAAGACUCCCACUGACUCCUUGACAUAUAAGAUUCUCUUGUCAAUAAACAUUUCUUGACAAACAAAUAUUCAAGAGUUAGUGUAGUUUUUAUCAAAACACUUCAUAAAUUGGUCCUAGUUGGUCUUUGUCUUAUCCAAGACAUCACAACUUUCCACAUUUGAUGAAUGUUAUAAACCUUCUUAAUACUUAUCACUCAAUGUCACAAUCUUAACUCUAAGACUUGUUUUGGAACGAAGUAUGAUUGACUUCUUGAUUUAACCAUUUCUUCAAUUCUUGAUUCCUCUUCUUAGACAUACAAUUGUACUAAGACUCACUUAGAGGAUCAAUUGAGAUAUGGUUCUUAAUCAUUAAGACCUAUCAUAAAGCAUAAAAGGUACUCUCCCUUCUUCUUAGAAUGGAGAAACUUUUAUCUUUCUGCCUACUUGAUUCUUCUUAUUCGUUCUGCUAUUGAUUUAAACUUUUUCAAUCAAUUCAGAAUUACACUUAAUCUUGUAAGUAUAAUCAUAUUUACUAAACCUUUAGUAAAUCAUGACGAAUAUCUUUGUUACUCUUAUGGUGGACUUGAUCAACACGCAACUUUGUGUACUCGAUCUCCUAGUCCUUCACUUGACACUUUGUCAAUGAAUUAGUCUAAUUUCCAAAUAUGAAAUUUCUCAUUCAUCGUGCAACCAAGUUGCAUGAUUCCAAGUUUCUGUCCAAUUGAAACUUGGGCGAUGAGAAACUCUCCCUAUUUGGUAAACUCUCGACUUUCCAUAAAUAACAUAAUAAGAACCAAAUCCAUUAUUGCUAAUAAUAGAAACAUUCAAACAUCAAUUUUUCAUAUACGCCAUUGCAAGGAUAAAUAAAUAAUAUAAAAUCAAAAUUUAUUUUAUUGCGGAAAAAAUUUGUCCUUACAAUGCAAUUCAUUGAAAAACUAUGCUAAUACAUCUUUCUUAGCAAUCUAAUUCUAACUCUAAGUAGUAGCUCAAGAAUCUAAUCUUCGAGAAAUGCGAUCGAAAUCCAUUCCUUCACGGUUAGAUUCUGCUCACUUCUUCCCUUAAGCUUCCUUUCUUUUCUUCGAUCCUACAAAACAUCAAUUGUAAUCUUAUCACAUUAUGUAUUAAGAAUCUAGAAUAGAAGCUUAAAAGAGUUAGUUAAUGGAUUUUACCUAUAUUAGAGCCAUACGUUUCGACUCUCCCAUCUCUUAGAUCUCUUAGGUAAAUGGGGCAGCUUCGUCUCCAAUGCCCUUUCUCUUGGCAAUAAAAGCAAAUUGACUCUUUUGGAACAUGACAUGGAACUACUUCAGACAUUGCCUUUCUCUUAUGAUCAAACUUUUCGAUCAUAGCAUGUCUUUCGUUGCCAUUGUCUAUAUCCAUAGAGGUCUUGAAGGCAGAUUCACCAAUCAACUUUGCUUUUCUAUUGCGCCAAACCAUUGCUGAUUCAGCAGCAAUAAGCAUAUAGGUGAGAUCUAUAAGGGUCACGUCGCGGUUCAUCAUAUAGUACUCUCUUACGAACUCACUAUAUGAGUUAGGAAGUGACUGAAGAACCCAAUCAACAGCCAUUUCCUCACAGACAACGGAUCCCAACAUUCUUAACCUAUCAAUGUGUGACUUCAUCCCUAGGACGUGUGCACACACCGACUUUCCUUCUUUAUGUUUACUUGCCAAAAGGGCUUGAGUGAUCUUGAACUUUUCAAGCCUUUGAACUUGUGGGUUAGGGAGAAUAAUUGGAGGAGGAGGAGGAAGUGAAGCAUGAUUUCUUGUUCCUCGAUCGAAUCGUGGAAUAUCAUCUUCAUGUGGAAUGCUUGUUCCACGGGAUUUGGGAAGACCAUAGUUGUCGAACUUUGACAUCUACAAAACGGGAGAAAACGAAUUCAAGUUAGUUGAUUGAUUGAGUCCUUAGUAAAUCACCCAAAUGAGAUACUAAGGCUAGGACCCAACACAAUAUUCUACAACUCGGGAGAGGGAUGCCGUAACCCUAAUUGCAGAAUAUUUGAAGGUAAGUGAAUGACGAUUCACUAAUUUCCACCAUGAAAAACGAAAAAGAAAUUUAAGUUUUAAAUCUAUGAAAACUCCUAGAUCCUUUGAGAUUCAUUGAACUUUCAAUGGCAUGUUUAAAUCUCGAUAUGCCCCUCUUGUUUGUGACUGGGAUGCCGAGGAUCACAAAGCGGGUGUGAAUAACCAUGCAAACUUACAUGGUGCCCUCACAUGUUACAGUCACCUAUUCGAUGUGCCGGUAAACCACACACGCUCCACCGAACUAUGACAAACAUUGAGUCACCCUUUGCUACCUUUGCUUAGAACCAUUUAGUGUGCCGGUAAACCACACACGCUCCACUAACGUCUUCGCAAGGGCACAAAGUGUAAUUUCAUGGAAUUGCAUCAAUUCACUUUUGCCUAAGUAACUAAGAUUGGGAAUUUUAUGAAAACAUUUAGUUACUUUAAUAAUUCAUUAUACUUAUAAUGGAAGGUUUCGUCCUAUCCUACCCGUUCGGCUAACGACCCUCCACUAGUCAAGAGUGCGGUGGGUAAGAGUGGAUACCCAUUCAAUCGCCAUUUUAUAGGCAAUUUCCUUAAACACCCCUUAUAGACCAGCUUCGUGAAUGAGGCCUACUAACGGUAAGACUGACUUUUACUCAUACAUAUAUAUAAUGUUAGACUUUUAAUGUUAUAUAUAGUAUAGGGUGUAUUUUACACUUUUAAAAUACUAGGUGGUCUAAUUUAACAAUUAUACUUUUAAUUCAAUUAAAUUGUAAACCAAAACUUUUAUGGAUUUAUUAAACCUCUUUUAAUUAUACACCUUAAUUAAUUAAUAAAACCAUAAGGGUGUGAUUUGAACUUUUUCAAAACAAUACUAGGGUUUUAGAAUUUAACAUUCCUAAUUAAACUUUUAAUCAACUUUUAAAUUCCAAAACUUGAGGGCAAGUUUUGAAACAUUUCAAAACAUUAGGGUUUAGAAUUUAAAUAUACAUCAAAAUUAAACUAUUAAUCAAAAUUUAAAUUCCAAAACUUGAGGGCAAGUUUUGAAACCUUUUUCAAAACAUUAGGGUUUCAACUAUUUAAAUUUCAAAACAACAAAACUUUUGGGUUCAAAUUUAAACUAUAAAACCUAAAGGGGAAAAUAUGAAACUUUUCAUAACACAAGGAUCAAAUAACAAAUAAUCUAAAUUAACAUUUAAUCACAUAAUUAUCCAUAUUUGAUUUAUUUAAUGAUUUCUUGCAAAACAAUUUACCAAUUUAAUCAAAAUAAUUAAUCAAUUAUCACAUAAGGAAACAAUUAUCUUAUUAAUUGAUAAAUAUCUUCAAUUAGAUCAAGAAUAUAGUCAAAUAUAUCAUAAAAUCGGAUUUAUAUUGAUCUAAUAUGAUAAGGUAACUAUCCAAAAGCAAAAACAACAAGAAAUCGCGAAAUAUGCUCCAUCUGACGAGUUGACUCGUCGAGUCAAGCUUGGACUCGGCGAGUUCAGCUAUGGACUCGGCGAGUCCAGCCUCCAGAAACCAAAAAAUCGAAUUUUUCAAACAUAUCAAGCAUCAAUACAAUAGAAACCAGUCAAGUCUCUGAUACCAAUGAUGGGUUUUGGUCCUAAGAACAUCCUAUGUGCUCAUACAAACCCUAAUGCUUGGAUCUAGGUUUCUCUAUUGUACAUGCAAGUUAUCCAAGACUAUAAACCCUAAUUCUAGCAUACAAGUAAUCAUAUUAACAUAAGAAUGGGUUUAAGAUAUUACCUUGAUUGUUAUGUAGCAAUAACAAUCUCAAAUUCUCCUUGUAUUGACUUUAGAAAGCUUAGAGUCACAAAUGUCACUCCUCUAAUGGUUCACAAACACCAAGAGCAAGAGGAUGAAGAGGAGAGAGGAAGGAGGCUGCCCUAAAACGUGUGAAACCCUAGAAGAAUUCUUAGCCACGUUUUUGGGUCAUAAGGGAUCCAUAUAUAUAUAGGAGGCUAUUAGGGUUAUCUAACAAGGAAACCCUAAUUGGAUGCUUAAGCCCUAAGCAACCCCUGGAAUCCUUUAAUUAGGGCCUUGGACGAUUUCCUUAUGGGUUUCCCCAUAGAAUUUGUCCAUCCCUUAAUACAAGGCAAUCCACGGCCCAAUUGCAAUUAUCUUAUAAUUACAAUUCCAGUCCCUUAAGUUUAAUUAAUCUCUUUUAGUCACAAAACUAAUUACCAAUUAAUAUUAAUUAAACAAUAUGAUUUCUCCUUUAAUAUAUUAUUCUCAUAAUAUAUUAAUAAAUCAUAUUUAAUCCUUUCUCUCCAUAAUUCAUCCUAUCAAGUUGCUUUGGUGAAGGCAACCCAAAAGGACCAUGCACCAUCGGGUCAAGUACAUACCAAAAUAGUUAUGGACUUAGACACUAAUCCNCACUUUGUUAGUAAUCAUCGGCAUCCCCGUCACAAACUUGAAAGGGCACAAUCGAGAUUGAAACAUGCCAUUGAAAAGUUCAAUGAAUCUCAAAAGAUCUAGGAGUUUCAAAAACAUUUAAAACCUAAUUUCGUUUUCGUUUUUCAUUGUGGAAAUUGGUAAAUCGUCAUUUACCUACCUUCAAAUAUUUUGUAAUUGGAUUACGGCAUCCCUCUUCCUAAUUGCAUGAUAUUGUGUUGGAUCUUAGCCUUGAAAUUUCAUUUGGGUGUUAUGUCAAGGAUUCUUAUCAACUAACUUGAAUUUUCUCCCGUUUUGUAGAUGUCAAAUGACUAUGGUCUUUCCGAAUCCUUUGGAAAAAGCUUUCCACUUGAAGGUGAUGUUCCAAGAUUGGAUCGUGGAAAUUGGAAUCAUGGUUCACUUCCUCCACCUCCUCCAAUAGUUCUCCCUGACCCACGUGUUCGAAGACUUGAAAAGUUCAAGGUCACUCAAGCCCUAUUGGCUAGAAAACACGAAGAUCGAAAGUCUAUAUGUGCUCACGUCUUUGAGAUGAAGUUACAUAUUGACAGGAUGGGAAUGUUGGCUGUCGAUGUCUUAAGGAAGUUGGCUGUUGACUUGGUUCUUCCAUCACUUCCCGAAUCAUAUAGUGAGUUCAUUAGUGAGUAGUAUAUGAUGGACCAUGACAUAAACCUCAUUGAUCUUACCUAUUUUCUUAUUGUUGCUAAAUCAGUGAUGAUUUUGCACACUGGUCAAGCAAAUUUGUUGGGAAGAUCAACCUCCCAAACUUCCAUGGACAUUGACAAUGGAAACAUUGGAAGUCCAGAAAAGUUUUCCCUGUGCAAGAGAAAGGCUAAGUCUGAGAUUGUCCCGUGUACGAUUCUGAAGAAGUCCGUUUGUCUCUACUGCCAAGAGAAGGGGCAUUGGUUGCGAAGCUGUCGUACCUACCUGAAGGAUCAAGAAGAUGGGAGAGUCAAGAUGUACGACUCUGCUUCAGGUAAAUCCACUAUCUAACUCUAUUAAGUUCUUCUUUUUAGAUUCUUAAUACAUGAUAUGAUAAGAUUACAUUUUGAUGUGAUAAGAUUACUAUUCUGACUAUCAUACUGUCUGAUCUGUACUAGCAUGCAUUUAUAAUAAAGCUGAUACACAUAUAACAAGCACAUAAGGCAUCUCCCUAGAUCCUUAGUGCUAAUCUAGCAUGCUAUUCUAAUAAAGAUGGAAUACAUAUCAUAACAUAAACUUGAUGGAUUAUGAGCAUAACAUCAUUCUUAUGGUGUUCAUGCAACCCUAAUUGCUUUGAUCUAGGUUUUUCUAAUUAAACAUACAACAUUGUGUACCAAAGUAAUAAACCCUAAUUGACUAGCAUACAAAUCUGAAAUUGACAUAUGAUUAGGGUUAGAAUCAUUACCUUGAUUGUUAUGUAGCAAUAACAAUCUUAAAUUCUCCUUGUAAUGGCUUCUGAAAGCUUAGAGUCACAAGUGUGACUCCUCUAAUGGCUCACAAACACCAAGAGCAAGAGGAUGAAGAAGGAGAAGAGGGGAGGCACCCAAAAGCGGCUGGAAACCCUAAGGAAUUAGUUUUUCCACGUUUUUGGGUCUCAAGGGUUCUUUAAAUAGGUAGGUAAUUAGGGUUAUCUAACAAGGAAACCCUAAUUUGACUGCUUAAGCCCUAAGCAGCCCAUGGACCCCUUCUAAACAUGCCUUGGACGAAAAUCAUAUGGGCUUCCCAUAGAUUUCGUCCAACCUAUAUUCCAAGGUGAUCCAUAGCCCAAUUGCAAUUAUCUUAUAAUUACAAUUCCAGUCCCUUAAGUUUAAUCAAUCUCUUUUAGCCACAAAAUUAAUUCAUAAUUUAAUUAUUGACUAAUAUUAAUUAAACAAUAUGAUUUAUCCUUUAAUAUAUUAUUCUCAUAAUAUAUUAAUAAAUCAUAAUUAAUCCUCUCUCUCCAUAAUUCAUCCUAUCAACUUGCUUAGGUGAAGGCGACCCAAAAGGACCAUGCACCAUCGGGUCAAGUACAUACCAAAAUAGUUAUGGACUUAGACACUAAUCCAACAGUCUCCCACUUGGAUAAGUCUAAUAACUAUUCUGCGUAUGACUUCAGAUCCUG
rnacentral:lncRNA from 1 species